CACGUAGGGUGCGAGCGUUGUCCGGAAUUAUUGGGCGUAAAGGGCGCGUAGGCGGUUUGGUUAGUUAGGCGUGAAAUUCCUGGGCUCAACCUGGGGGCUGCGCUUAAUACAGCCAGACUAGAGUGUGAAAGAGGGUCGUGGAAUUCCCAGUGUAGAGGUGAAAUUCGUAGAUAUUGGGAAGAACACCGGUGGCGAAGGCGGCGACCUGGUUCAUUACUGACGCUGAGGCGCGAAAGCGUGGGGAGCAAACAGG
rnacentral:rRNA from 1 species